AGGACGAACGCUGGCGGCGUGCCUAAUACAUGCAAGUCGAGCGGUAAGGCCUCUUCGGAGGUACACGAGCGGCGGACGGCUGAGUAACACGUAGGAACGUACCCCAAAGUGAGGGAUAAGCACCAGAAAAUGGUGUCUAAUACCGCAUGUGCUCUAAGGAGUAAAGCUUCGGCGCUUUGGGAACGGCCUGCGCAUGAUUAGCUUGUUGGUGAGGUAAAAGCUCACCAAGGCGACGAUCAUUAGCUGGUCUGAGAGGAUGAUCAGCCAGACUGGGACUGAGAACGGCCCAGACUCCUACGGGAGGCAGCAGUAGGGAAUUUUCCACAAUGGGCGAAAGCCUGAUGGAGCAACGCCGCGUGCAGGAUGAAUGCCUUAGGGUUGUAAACUGCUUUUAUCUGUGACGAAUAUGACGGUAGCAGAUAGAAUAAGGAUCGGCUAACUCGUGCCAGCAGCCGACGGUAAUCGUGAGGCGGCGUGGACG
rnacentral:rRNA from 1 species